rnacentral:rRNA from 1 species
GACGAGCGCUGGCGGCGUGCCUAAUACAUGCAAGUAGAACGCUGAAGGAGGAGCUUGCUUCUCUGGAUGAGUUGCGAACGGGUGAGUAACGCGUAGGUAACCUGCCUGGUAGCGGGGGAUAACUAUUGGAAACGAUAGCUAAUACCGCAUAAUAUUGACUAUUGCAUGAUAGUCAGUUGAAAGGUGCAACUGCACCACUACCAGAUGGACCUGCGUUGUAUUAGCUAGUUGGUGGGGUAACGGCUCACCAAGGCGACGAUACAUAGCCGACCUGAGAGGGUGAUCGGCCACACUGGGACUGAGACACGGCCCAGACUCCUACGGGAGGCAGCAGUAGGGAAUCUUCGGCAAUGGACGGAAGUCUGACCGAGCAACGCCGCGUGAGUGAAGAAGGUUUUCGGAUCGUAAAGCUCUGUUGUAAGAGAAGAACGAGUGUGAGAGUGGAAAGCUCACACUGUGACGGUAUCUUACCAGAAAGGGACGGCUAACUACGUG